CGCAGGGUGGAGCAGUUGGUUAGCUCGCUGGAUUCAUAAUCCAGAGGUCGCGGGUUCGAGUCCUGCUCCUGCUA
rnacentral:tRNA from 2 species